CCGAGUUAGCAAGACUCCCUAAACCCCUGUGAACCUACCUUCUACCGUUGCCUCGGCGGAGCGGCCCAGCGCCCCCCGGUACACGGGGACGGCCCGCCGGAGGAUACCCCUAAACUCUGUUACUAUAGUGGACUCUCUGAGUAUCUACUGAAUAAGUCA
rnacentral:misc_RNA from 1 species